rnacentral:rRNA from 1 species
CAGUAGCCGCGGGAACACGAAGGGGGCUAGCGUUGUUCGGAUUUACUGGGCGUAAAGGGUGCGUAGGCGGACUGAUAAGUCAGGGGUGAAAUCCCAAGGCUCAACCUUGGAACUGCCUUUGAUACUGUUAGUCUUGAGUUCGAGAGAGGUGAGUGGAACUGCGAGUGUAGAGGUGAAAUUCGUAGAUAUCGGAAGGAACACCUGUGGCGAAAGCGGCUCACUGGACCAUAACUGACGCUGAUGCACGAAAGCUAGGGGAGCAAACAGGAUUAGAUCCCCAGUAGUCCCUGUCUCUUAUACA